UUUACAUUAGGGCUGUAGGGGCGCUAUUGUCAUUUAGAAAAUGACGGCGUUCUCUAUACAAGGGGAUUUGCAAUUAGGGUUACACAUGUUGUGGCUGCUCCUGGUGCGUGGAGACAUGGCGGCCACUUUCCUCCUGCCUUCGGUUGGACGGAAAUAGCAUCCGCUCCAGUACUUGAUGGAUCGGUUCAUGUGGAAUGCACGGGUUUUUUCAUCUCACCAAUGCAAUCCAUGAGUUGAGGCUGAGAAUGGGCCCACAAGGAAACGUGGCUAAACUCAGUUGAGAGUUCAGACUUGAGAAUCUGUGACAGUAAGCAAUGAAGCAAAGGCUGGACGGAAACUAGUUCCCUGAAUGCAAUGAAAGUAGAUGCAAGUGUGAAUGCUUCUACGCAAUGUGGGAGAGGGAAUGCAUCUUAUGGGACAUGCUCAUUUCAGUUGAGCCUAAAAUUAAUUGGACCAGUGCAGACAGUUUAACGUUUCAGUGAAUACACAAUGUUUCUUCCAUCUAAUCAAAGUCACCCCUGAUCUUGAUCUUAUUCUACUCAA